AUUGAACGCUGGCGGCAUGCCUUACACAUGCAAGUCGAACGGCAGCAUGGAGAGCUUGCUCUCUGAUGGCGAGUGGCGAACGGGUGAGUAAUGCAUCGGAACGUACCGUGUAAUGGGGGAUAACGUAGCGAAAGUUACGCUAAUACCGCAUACGACCUGAGGGUGAAAGCAGGGGAUCGCAAGACCUUGCGUUAUACGAGCGGCCGAUGUCAGAUUAGCUAGUUGGUGAGGUAAAGGCUCACCAAAGCGACGAUCUGUAGCGGGUCUGAGAGGAUGAUCCGCCAUACUGGGACUGAGACACGGCCCAGACUCCUACGGGAGGCAGCAGUGGGGAAUUUUGGACAAUGGGGGCAACCCUGAUCCAGCCAUGCCGCGUGAGUGAAGAAGGCCUUCGGGUUGUAAAGCUCUUUCGGCCGGGAAGAAAUCGCACAGGCUAAUACUCUGUGUGGAUGACGGUACCGGCAUAAGAAGCACCGGCUAACUACGUGCCAGCCGCCGCAGUAA
rnacentral:rRNA from 1 species